rnacentral:rRNA from 1 species
UCCGCUCACACCUGUGCACCCUCGGUAGGUGUGGGGCUUGGGGGACUCUGUCCUCUUGCUGUGGUUCUAUGUCUUUACACACACACUGUAAUAAAGUCUCAUGGAAUGCGUGUCGCGUUUAACGCAAUACAAUACAACUUUCAGCAACGGAUCUCUUGGCUCUCGCAUCGAUGAAGAACGCAGCGAAAUGCGAUAAGUAAUGUGAAUUGCAGAAUUCAGUGAAUCAUCGAAUCUUUGAACGCACCUUGCGCCCUCUGGCUAUUCCGGAGGGCAUGCCUGUUUGAGUAUCAUGAACACCUCAACUCUCAUGGUUUGCCAUGAUGAGUUUGGACUUUGGGGGUCUUGCUGGCCUUGUGGCCGGCUCCUCUCAAAUGAAUCACCUUGCCAGUGUUUGGUGGCAUCGCAGGUGUGAUAACUAUCUACGCUUGUGGUGUCCUGCCACGCAACGGGCACUGAUGGAGGGUCACUGGAGCUCAUAUAUGUCUCUCCUCACCGAGGGCAGCCUUUUGAAUGGUUGAUCUCAAAUCACGUAUGACUACCCGCUGAAC